ACAACAUAAUAAAGAAAACGAAAUUAUUUGGAUUUAUUUUACGUAACAAAUUGUAAUACGUAUUGCAUUCUAUGUUAUCGACAUUGUUGUUUAUUGAUAAAGUGUCAAAGUCAACUUCAAAGUUCAAAAAUGUGUACAUUAGUGAAGACAAAAUAUUAAUAAAAUUUUGAAUGAAAAUAAAAAACUAAAUAUAUUAUAAAAUUAAAGAAGAGUCGCUAAAUACUAAAAUAGAACAAGGUGUUUCUCUGGUAAUAACACCUAUCGGUACACUACAAGAAUAACCUCGGUCUUCGAAAACGGGUACAAACGUAAUGGCGUUAACUGUAACGUAGACAAUCAGCGGGUAUUACCAUAUCCCGGAUGUCGGCGCCGCAGCACAUAUGUCCGGGCAAAUUGCCAUCAUCAUCUUUUCUUCGUUCUCUUCUUAGGAGGCUCUUCAACUAAAACCGCUAUUGGAGAUUUGAAACGAACGGGUAAUUGCUUUUAUUGAAUUGACAUUUAAAAAAGAGAUAAAAAUGAUUUUCCUUGUUAAAGAAAGAGGAAGAAGAAGAAGGCACCUAAUUUCUAACCUUGAAAAAUAAGAGAAAGAAAACUCGACUCGUAAUUAUUGCGUUUUGUUGAUGUUUUAAUAAGUAUUUAUAAAUGCCGUUGCGGGAUGAUGUCACUGUGAUAUUAAAAAAAAAUCUAACACUUCCUAAUGUUAUAAUGAAUAUCUUUUUGACGUCCCGAAGGCUUUUCCCUAAUUUGGUGCGAUGAAGGGUACCCAGUUUUGGAAAAAUCAAUGUGAACUAUGACAUUUCUAUAUACCUUACUUGAUUUUAUUUAGUUUUUUAAUCACAAAUUCAUUAAUCUAAAAAAAACUAAAAAAGAAUUUUAUUAUCGCAAGAUUAAACAACAUGAAUCCGGUAGCAUAACCUUUAAAUCUAAAUAUUUAUAUGUGGGUAUCAUGUACGUACAGUGCGUAUUGAGAAAAAUAAAGGAAUAAUACAAGGUUGUCAUUUCAAUUAAGCAAUAAUCGAAACAAAAGAAAGCCACAAUGAAAAGAAAGGAAACAACGGUUAAAUAAAACCGUAUAGGAUAGGCCUUAACCCCAACGUUGCCGUCAAAUUUUUAAUCCUGUCAGAUGACAAGGACAACGCGAUUAUGAGACGACGUCGCCGCCACCACCGCCAACUUUCUGUACUGAGAAGUUGAGAACAAUGGAUACCGCCACCGCUAGUCAUAUUUUUAAGGUUAGAUUACGAACUCAAUGUUUUUUCCUUAUUGCUUUUUCGAAUAAAUUUAAAUAAUGUACAGA